UUCCUCUCAGCCACCCUGCAUCCAUCCAUUUCCCACCCCAACCUGCAAAAGGUAACCACUGGAUGGGCCCGGUGGCUCACACCUGUAAUCCCAGCAUCUUGGGAGGCCAAGAAUCAGAAAUCUGAGCGUAGGAAGAAGUGGGUUAGCCCUGGAGAAAGGAAAAGGAGGAUCAUGGUUCUCUGCAAAGAGCUGGAAGCUAAAAAGCAGGCUGUGUUUACUUACCAACCAGGACUCAGUGGGAUCUUUGCCAGCUUCCAAUAUGGCCUUAAAAGUAUAUGAAAUCCAAGAAAUAUUUCUGCAAAGCAAGAGAUCUUCACUGCUUUAUUUUCCACCACCUGAAUCCUUGCAGUGAGUGUAGUGUGUAUCUAAUCAAUCUAUUAAAAAAUACUUCAAAAGUUCUA
rnacentral:lncRNA from 1 species